rnacentral:rRNA from 1 species
AUUGAACGCUGGCGGCAGGCUUAACACAUGCAAGUCGAGCGGCCGUAGCAAUACGGCAGCGGCAGACGGGAGAGUAACACGUGGGAACGCGCCCUUCGGUUCGGGAUAACCCAGGGAAACUUGGGCUAAUACCGGAUACGCCCUUACGGGGAAAGAUUUAUUGCCGAAGGAACGGCCCGCGUCCGAUUAGCUAGUUGGUGAGGUAAUGGCUCACCAAGGCGACGAUCGGUAGCUGGUCUGAGAGGAUGACCAGCCUCACUGGGACUGAGACACGGCCCAGACUCCUACGGGAGGCAGCAGUGGGGAAUAUUGGACAAUGGGCGCAAGCCUGAUCCAGCCAUGCCGCGUGGGUGAUGAAGGCCCUAGGGUUGUAAAGCCCUUUCAGCGGGGAAGAUAAUGACGGUACCCGCAGAAGAAGCCCCGGCUAACUUCGUGCCAGCAGCCGCGGUAAGAC